CCAAAGGCAGGCGCCAAACCGCUGCGCCACCCAGGGAUCCCCCCACCUUUUUUUUUUUUUUAAUUUUUAUUUAUUUAUGAUAGUCACAGAGACCUGGAGAAAUUUUUUGAAGAAAAUGAGGAUUGAAGAAUGGGUAGGACUGUGGUAGAAGGAUAUGGGGCCUUGUUCCAGGUACAGGGGAAAGGUAGAGAAGUGAGAUCGUAACAGGGUGCCAUAGAAAAUUAUUUAAUGAAUUUAAAUAAAGGUUCUAGAAUAACAUAAAAUGAGGCUGAGGGCACCUGGGUGGCUCAGGCAGUUAAACAUCUGCCUUCAGCUCAGGACAUGAUCCCAGGGUCCUGAGAUUGAGCCCCACAUCAGGCUCCCUGCUAAGGAAAAUAAAAAUAAAAUUAAAAAUAAAAUUUAAAAAAAUAAAAAUUAAAUAAAAUACAAUGAAGCUGAAUAUUAUCCAUUUUAAUAGGCUGAUGUAUAGCUUUAUUCACCUAGGAAAUAAUGUCCUCAUAAGUGCCAUGACAAUGUGUACCAGUUAUAACACCACUUCUUUUAAAGAGAGUUAAAAUUCAGUGAAGAAGAAUAAGUAUGAGAAUUCUAGUGCUUCUCACACUAAAUUAUUCUUGGAUCUGGGUGUAUCUUCAUCUGGAUAUCUAUUUCUUAUAUUUGCAAAAUAACAUCAAAUAUUAAAAUGAAGACUCUGGUGGAAAAUCAAUUAUCAUUUUUCAAAGAUAUUUUGUGGGUCACUUCUUACAUGCCACUCACUCCCAGAGUUCCAUUAUAGAGUUACAAAUAAACACUGCUUCUUAAAAUGUAUUUUUAAAUGAAUGACUCUUCAGUUUAAGAGAAGAAAAAAAAAUCAUUUUUAAAAUUCUGCAUUCAGAAGCCGUACAUUCAUGCUUAUGCAAGUGAAUGAAAGUUUAGAAAUAUAUUUAAAUAUGUUUAAAAGCCUGCAGAGAUAUCUUGCAAUCAGGAGGUAUCAGCAAUUGUAUGAACAACCUUAGAAUCUUCAAUAAAAAAAUACUAAAAGGCAAAGAAGCAGAGAAUAAAGGCACACUGCACACAUUCUAGAAACAUCAGAAUCCUAUAGGAAUCAAAAUAGCAAACUAAUACAAAUGUUUUUGGUGAUGCAACAUGCAAGAGUCUAGGAGUAGAACGUUGUUAAGGGUUAAUCUUCCUGAUAAGAAACCUCAAGUGAAGUGGAGACUAAACCUGGACGGAAAGCUUUGAAAUCAGGCCCAAGGAAUAUUUUACAGGGGAAAUGGGUUGAAAAGUGUAGAAUAUCAAAUUAGAAUGAAAUACGAGGCAAAUAAUAUGGAUGGAUGCAAGGGUUUUCAAGGGCAAAAGAAACACUUGUUCUUAUCUGUGGCUGAUUAAUCAAGCUGGAUAAAGCAGUGGUUAAUUGUCCAGAACCGUAUAUUUAAUUUCAAUUUGACUUUGCUCUUCUAUGUAGCCUCAAACUCUAGCCCCAUCCUAACAGAAGUCUUUCACUUACAGUCUCCAUUCAGUCGGUACAUAAAGCUUUUGAGUGCUCAUAAAGAACAAGGCUCUACGUAGGUGCUGUUGAAAGAAAAAGGUGUUAAAAUUAAAAGAAGGUGUUAUAUCUCCUGCCCUCAAAGAUACAAACAAUAUUCAUAUUUAAGGCUCCGCCUAAAGCCUAAAGCAAAUUAUUGACAUUUCAGGACCCACUUAAGGACCACUUGUUUGCAAAACUUUUCCUUUAUAUUUACCAUAGCUGUAUAUCAGAUAUCCCCAGCACCAUCAUUCUGAACUUGACUAUGGAACUGCAAACAAUAUAAAAAUUUAUAGAAGCAGAAGUGAAAGUGGUGUGUAGAGUAAGUAAAAGUGUCCAUUGUCACUUCUCUGGAAGCAUGUAUCCUUCUAGAUCUCAGAUAGAAAGAUGUAUAUGUGAAUGUAUGUAUGGAGAGAUAGGCAGACAGAUGGUAGCUAGCUACAUGAUAGGGAAGUAGAGGAUUGAUCAACUGAGUGAUUGAUGAUAGCGGUUAAGAACAUAGACUCUGGAUCUAGACAGUCAAGGUUUGAGUCCCAGCUCUACAAUUUACUACAUAUCUGAUCUCAGUUUUCUCAUCUGUAAAAGUGGGGAUGACAGCAGUCCUACCUCACUGGGUUACUGUAAGGAUUAAGUGAAGUUCUAUGUGGGUUGUUUCCAGCAGUGCUUGGUACAUAGUAAGAUUUUUAUAAGGGUUAGCUACUCUUCUAUUUUUUUUAAAGAUUUUAUUUAUUUAUUCAUGAUAGUCACACAGAGAGAGAGAGAGAGAGGCAGAGACACAGGCAGAGAGAGAAGCAGGCUCCAUGCACCGGAAGCCCGACGUAGGAUUCGAUCCUGGGUCUCCAGGAUCGCGCCCUAGGCCAAAGGCAGGCGCCAAACCGCUGCGCCACCCAGGGAUCCCUCUUCUAUUAUCAAUACACAUAAACUAAGUUUUUUAAGAAAUGAAAUUUUAUUAUGUGCAUUUUCUCACUUCAUAAUAUGUCAAGGAGAAUAGACUUAUAAUGUGGCUAUCUGUUUCACUCCAUAACUGCUGCAUAAUAUCCCACAGUAGGGUUGGGUCAGAAUAUUUUUUUAAAAGAUUUUAUUUAUUUAUUCAUGAGAAACAUAGAGAGAGAGAGAGGCAGAGACACAGGCAGAGGGAGAAGCAGAUUCCCCUCAGGGAGCCUGAUGUGGGACUGGAUCCCCCGACUCCAGGAUCAUGCCCUGGGCCAAAGGCAGGUGCUAAACCACUAGACCACCUGGGAUUCCUGAGUCAGAAUAUCUUUAACCAUUCUCCUGUUGAUGGCCAUUUAGUUUGUUUCUUGGUACUAAAGAGAAUAUUAAAAUUAUGACACCAAUCUUAAAUGUUUAAAUGGUUUGAAAUCAGGAUAAAUAAAAGUUUAUGGUGGGAGUAGAGAGGAUGACUUGCUAUCUGACUAUUUGGGAGAAUAUUAUUUGAAAAACUGCCAUAUUUGACUUCUAGUCUUCCCAGAUGGUACACCUCCAUUCACGCUGAUUCUAUUCAGACUGAUACCCAUGCCGCCCUAUACCCAAACUCCAUAACCUAUCACACUCUGUAAAUGAUACUAAGAUAAUCCAACUUCAUUAACAUUAACACAAAUAUAUAUGAAAGCCAAUUAAAUUCACUUUUUUUCUUUCUUUCUUUCUUUCUUUCUUUCUUUCUUUCUUUCUUUCUUUCUUUCUUUUUCUUUCUUUCUUUCUUUCUUUUUUUUUAGGGGGGACACGCGAUGGGGGUGGGGAACAAGGGCAAAGGGUAAGGGAGAACGAGAAGAUCCCACAACCCUGAGAUCAUGACCCGAGCUGAAGUCAGGAGUCUGAUGCUGAACUGACUAAGCCACUCAGGUGCCCCUAAUUAAAUUGAUUUUAAGUUAUUGUGAUCUUAGAACAUGCAGUCCAUUUAUAAUAUAAUGGAGCCUCAGCCAAGUAUAGUCCUCUCUCAUUCAAACAAGAUACUAUGGUACAGUGACUUGAAAAUGUUCAGGGCUCAUUGUGGGAAUACUCUUAAUAACCCAUGUUUCUGGAACACCUGGCUGGCUCAGUAGGUGGAGCCUGCGACUCUUGAUCUCAAGAUUGUAAAUUCAAGCCCAAUGUUGGGUGUAGAGAUUACUUAAAAAUAAGAUCUUAAACAAACAAACAAAUCCAUGCAUCCCUGGUAAUACUUUUUUUGACGUGAAAAUGUUCAUUGAAGUAGGAGGGUAUUUGGGGGAUGCUCAUUUUGUUAAAAUUUAAAAAUGGUCUGUAAACGUGUAAACUGAAUUUUAUUUUUUGGCUAAUUAAGUAUCUGAGAGACACUAACUUUGCCACACUCUAAGAAAUUACUUAUCAGCCUGAACCAAAAUGUAGGGAGCAAUUUAAUUGUGAAAGGAAGACAAUAUACCUGUUGGGGGAAAAAAAGAAAACACCUCAAUAGACCCCUUCCAUUCAGGAUGGGUUAACCUAAUAAAAGGGAAACACAUUUGAAUUUGCUCACCACUGCUUAAUGAGAAGAUGAAAAAAUGCUGCAGUUUUGGUAAUAAACUCUUGCUUUUUACACCCCAAGCAGGUGCAUGGCAUUGUGAUAUCAACACUGUACUUGUUCCUCAUCAGCCCCCCACCGUUCUUCCAAAUGGGAACGGAAUACUGUACAUUCUACACAUUUUUUCUUUCCCACUCGGGACUCAGGGUCAGAAGAGUGGCUAUAGCCCAGUGGAAGGCCUGCCAGUUGUUUUGGAAUUCUUGCAGGUGUUUAAAAAGCAAAGGAUUCUUUUCAGAGGCACAUCUGCAUUUGUCAUAUGCCAUUUGUGCUAAAGCCUGUGGUGUUUUUGUUUGUUGGUUUGACAGAUUGACAUGUAAUGGCCAGGACCAUCAGGGCGGCUGCUCCCAACAAAGUCAUUCUGAUAGCUGGAGUUCUCUAGAAAUCAACUGCCCUGAAUUACCCGUGAUUUUUCUCUGCCCUUCAAAGGAAAAUGUGUUGUUCUCAUGUUCUUUUGGCUUUUUGUUUGCUUUCACAAUUUUUUUCUGGUUACAUUGUUUUAAAUUCUAAGUUUAGAUGGAAUAGGGACUUUGAUAGGAUGAGAAUAUAUAUCUACAAAAAGUUGUCAAAAUCAACCAGUCCUUGAAAUUUACUCAGAAAUUACUAAAGAGAUCUGUGGCAUUUAAAUAUAUAUCUCGAUGUCUAAAAGGUGAGAGAACACCUCUGUGUCAGGAAUGAGGGAACUUCAGAGAGGCAAGAACCGCAACUUUUCGACUUUUUAAUAUUUUUAAACGCUGAAAUAAAAUUCCCAUUUUAAGUUAUUUUUGAAACCUUUUUUUCCUUUUUUGUAUCAGCGAAUGACCUACCUGAAUUUAUAUAUAAGCAUGUGUCUUAUCAAUCAUGUUACCACCAAGCCAAGUAAAGAUGCGUGAAAGCAAA